CUUCUCCUUCUUUGUUUACUAUGCGAGGAAGUGGCUGUCUUCUCAUGGGACACUAGACCAUCUGUUAAGCAGCCAGACAGUAUCAGCAACAGAGCUGUUCUGUCAGAUUGAAAAUGGCAAGACCUUGUUUUCUAGUAUUGUUUCCUAUAUCAUGCAAGAAUGAUUGACAACACUUACUCAAACGGAGCCAAAGUCAUGCCAGAAAGGAAGGAGAAUGCAGUGAGGAAAGCAAAGAUGACUGGAUUCUAGGAGCAUGGAUGCAGGCAGCCAGUUGUUGCUGAAAACUGUCACUCUUCCAGCUUUGAGUGCUCUGAGUACUCAAGGGCAUGUGGGAAACGAAGGCAGCAGCAGAGGAAGAGGGCUGUGUGGAUGCUCGUUCUAUAGCAGACACACUCUGAAGAAGAGAGAGCAUCCAGACUCCAAAGAUGACUUCUGGACUCUCUUUGAGAAACCAUCAUUCUUGUCCAGGGAAAAAGUGCAGCAGCUUCUGCAAAAGCACAGAAACAUCCAGCUUUAGUACAGAAGAAGGCAGAAUGAUAGACAAAGCCACAGACUGAUGUUUGUGCCUGAUUGCAUGGAAACUCAUAUAAAUUUCUCAUUUUUAUAUCUUUUAUAUCACAGAACUAAUUACAUUUGCACAAAGUUGGCAUUGAAACAGCAAAAGAGAAAAUUUUCCCCAUGCAAAGCAUUAUAAAAUGUCACCUGCUCUCCUGCUCCUGCCAUUCAAAAUUUCUGAUCCAGAGCAACCAACAGAACUGCUUCAGCAAGAACUGUGUAAUAAACCAUUACCAAUCAAGACCUCUUUAACAGUCCAUAUUUAGCACCAGCGUGGAAAAGAAAAAGCCCCAAGAUGAUGAAUAAGAUGGUAAUGUCAGAUUGAAAAUUCUUCUUGGCUUGAAAAAUCUAAAAAGUGAAAUUGCAAGGAGUUUUGACUGAGUAAGCUACCACCAGAGCUUAGCAUGAGAGAAUCCGCAUCAGUGAUGAAGGCUGAAUUGAGAAAUAUCAUAGACAAGAGCAAAAACUGUUCAUAUGCCAUUCCCUUACCAUUGUCGUGCUGUGAAAUAUCGGGCAAAUCUAUUUGGUAAAUCACUGAAAAUCACUUCAGCCAAGAGCAGAAGCCUAAUUGCAGACACAUCAUUCUAAAAGAAGUUGUUCUCAUGCUAUCUCUGAGCUGGCAGAAGGAAAUGAACACUGGAAAACUCAUAAGAAAGUCU
ensembl:lncRNA